CACAAUAAUUGAGACGCAGUAUCAUCGGUUCCUCGUCUCAAUCGUCUGUAACGACAAUGAGCGGGACUUGCAAGUACUCGUGUGACACUGCUACACACACCCUCCAAUGGAUCAACGCCAUCAUCGACUUCCUCAGACCCUAUGCCUUCUUGAUACAUAGUCACGUGGUCAAUUUCUUCAAGGAUAGACAAUGGGAAGCUGUUGAUAAAGAAUGGAUGGAUUGCCUGAGGAAGGACCCUGUCGAAAAUCUUCUGCUUAUUCCUUCUGGAGUGGUCCAGGAUCACUGGCCUGUUUCACUGAAGGAUUUUGUACUAAACUUGAGGUCUCUUGUCUUUCCAAGAGAGCCGGCGGACUUGCACAUGUCAUUACCUGGCAUGCACAUGGUUUCAGUAAAUAGCGUUCUUGCUCAGGGCAUGAAUAUGAAGAAAAAACAUGAAGUAGAAGUUCUUUCUGCUAUUGUUAGUUCAAUUGCUGACAGUGUAAGAGCUCAUACCAUUGUCGAUGUUGGUGCUGGCCAGGGUUAUCUUGCACAAGUAUUAUCCUUUCAGUAUCAACACUCUGUGAUUGCGAUUGAUGCAUGUUCUCACCAUGGAAGGGUCACAGAUGCACGUGCAGAACGAAUAAAGAAGCAUUAUGCAGCUCAAAUGCGUAAAUCUAAAUCAGGAAACGGGAGGUUCAAUGUGCCCAAGACAGUCACAUGUCGUGUAAUUUCCAUUGACAUGUUGAAAACAUUGACGGGCAUGUCUCUUCAUAAAGGCGAUGCUGAGCACCUUGGAUUUUUUGAAGAAGAUAACACAAAACUUAUAGAAGAAAAACCAAAAUCUCAAUGUGUUGCAAACAGUGGUACUUCAUUGGUACUUGCAGGACUUCAUGCUUGCGGUGAUCUUUCAGUAACAAUGCUCAAGGCCUUUUUGGAGUGCAAAGAAGCUAAAGCUGUUGUUAGCAUUGGGUGUUGUUACAACUUAUUGUCCGAAGAAGGUGCUGACAAUAUUGAAACCCACUGUGGAUUUCCUAUGAGUAGUGGUGUUAAGUCAGCUGUCUUUCCACUUGGAAAGAGUUCUCGUGAUCUUGCUUGCCAGAGUGCUGAGCGAUGGAGAAGCCUGGAAAAAGAUGACGGCCUUCAUAAUUUUGAGUUGCAUUCUUUUCGUGCUGCUUUCCAGUUGGUUCUUUCUAAAUAUUAUCCAGAAGUCAUGGAAACAAGCCCUUCUAUUGGUCGUCAAGGAAAGGCUUUGCGUCGCAGACAGCAGAGGAAAGUGGAAGCUCCAUUGCAUCAUAAAGAAGUUGCAUGUCCACAUUUUCAUCCAAACCAGAAAGGAAGUUUCCCUAACAUAGACCCCAAUGAACCUGAAACAGAUGAAACAUCACGCUUGGCAACAGACAAAGAUGCCUUAUUGAAUGGAAUUUCAUCCUGUGAGAGUACAAGAUGUGUAGGGCCUAAAUCUGUUGACAAAUAUAAACAUUUUGAGAAGUUCACCCGGUCUGGAUUAUGUCGUCUUGGUCUCAAACCUUUGGAGAGGAUAAAUUUUCAUGAAAUAUGGAAGGAAGCAGAGCCAUUCACUGAACUUAUAGGACCUUACUGGUCCCUUAGAGCUGCUUUGGGGCCUCUUUUGGAAACUUUUCUUCUGCUUGAUCGAUUAUUGUUCCUCCAGGAGCAAGGCCAUUCAGUUGAGGUUAUGAUGUUACCUAUUUUUGAUCCAGAGGUAUCCCCAAGAAAUGUUGCUAUAAUUGCAAGAAAGAAUUUGCCACAAAUAUGAUAACUUAGCCAAAAGAGGGGAAAAACUCUGCAGUAUUAACAGAUAAUUUUGAUGGUUCAGUUGAAGAACAAGAAUAUGAAGUUUUAGUAAGAAUUUGGACGUUACACAACUUGUCUCCAACCAUUCUCCAUCUCGUCGAACAUAGCUCCUGUGCCCCCGAGCCACUCCCCACCACACUUGGGCACUGCCCAUGCCAAUAAACCACGCCAAUUUUCUCUUGGUGCCUAGGCUGAUAUUGGCCAGUGGUAAAACAGAACUAUUCCCAACUUUCAAACGGUACAACUUUUUCUCACCAGAUUAUGUAUGCAUGUAUGUACGACAAAUCCUGUAUGAACAUGUUCUUUUCUAAACAAAAGUCGUAUGUUGUUAUGAUGCUUACUGUUCGAAGUGGUUACUUACCAUUGUUUCAUAUGUUAAUCGUCCCAAGUGAACAAUCUUAUGAUGAGUAGGGACUUUAGGACCAGGUGAAGCUUUUGUAGAUGAGGCUGGAUCUUAGAACUUUACAGCUUUCCAAGAGAUUUUCAGUUUAUGUUUUCGUAAUUAGUGAGGAAAUUUUGUGAAUCAACACUAGACAUGAACAAUUUGAACUGUUUGUACACUUCAUUUAAUAAAAUUUGCAUUG